AUAAAACUUGAUGUAUCCAUUGGGUGAAAGGAAAGCAAAACAGAGCCUGUUGGCGGAAGUCUCAAAUAUUAUGAGACAGAGAAGAGCUGCGUGCACCUCUCCCAGUUUAAGUUCAUUCUUUCUACUUUCUUGCAAGUCCCUGUAUGCUGCCUUGCUAGUUUAGCAAGAGGAGCUGAAACUAGUCUUGUUGGGAUUGCGUGCAAAAAGCCCUCAGCUUCCUUGAAGUGUGUGAGCUCUGCAGUCACGUCUGUAUGUCUAGGGGUGGAGAAGGUGCUGUUCAGAGG